AUGGAUUCCAUCUUGGCGAAUGAAACUUGGGAGAUAACUGAUCGUCCUUAUGGGUGCAAACCUAUAGGAUGCAAAUGGGUAUUCAAGAAGAAGCUUAGGCCUGAUGGUACUAUUGAAAAGUACAAGGCUCGGCUCAUGGCAAAGGGUUAUACCCAAAAGGAAGGUGAAGACUUCUUUGAUACUUACUCACCUGUGGCUCGACUAACCACUAUUCGAGUUCUACUUUCACUAGCUGCCUCACAUGGUCUUCUCGUUCAUCAAAUGGAUGUUAAGACUGCUUUCCUAAAUGGAGAGUUGGAUGAGGAAAUUUAUAUGCAACAACCAGAUGGGUUUGUAAUAGAUGGCUUUGUUGGGAACGAAGCUGACAAAUGUGUGUACUAUCGCCAUGGUGGCGGCGAGGGAGUUAUGCUUUGCUUGUAUGUUGAUGACAUACUAAUUUUCGGAACAAAUCUGAAUGUUAUUAAGGAGGUCAAGGAUUUCCUAUCUCGCUGUUUUGAGAUGAAGGAUUUAGGAGUGGCUGAUGUCAUUCUGAACAUCAAGUUGUUGAGAGAUGAUGAUGGUGGGGUUACAUUGCUUCAAUCUCACUAUGUGGAAAAGAUCUUGAGUCGCUUUGGCUAUAGUGAUUGCAAGCCCUCUCCAACACCAUAUGAUGCUAGCGUGCUGCUUCGAAAGAAUCGAAGAAUUGCUAGAGAUCAAUUGAAGUAUUCUCAGAUUAUUGGCUCGCUUAUGUACUUAGCCAGUGCUACAAGACCUGACAUCUCUUUUGCUGUUAGCAAACUGAGCCGGUUUGUUUCAAAACCAGGAGAUGUGCAUUGGAAAGCUCUAGAGAGAGUUUUGCGUUAUUUGAAAGGCACUGCGAAUUAUGGAAUUCACUACACUGGGCACCCAAAGGUGCUUGAAGGGUAUAGUGACUCAAACUGA
rnacentral:rRNA from 1 species